rnacentral:rRNA from 1 species
UACGUAGGGUGCGAGCGUUAAUCGGAAUUACUGGGCGUAAAGCGUGCGCAGGCGGUUCGUUGUGUCUGAUGUGAAAGCCCCGGGCUUAACCUGGGAAUGGCAUUGGAAACUGGCGAGCUGGAGUGUGGCAGAGGGGGGUGGAAUUCCGCGUGUAGCAGUGAAAUGCGUAGAGAUGCGGAGGAACACCGAUGGCGAAGGCAGCCCUCUGGGCCAACACUGACGCUCAGGCACGAAAGCGUGGGGAGCAAACAGG